rnacentral:piRNA from 1 species
UAGGAAAAGAAUUUUAUUACU